GUGGAGCCCCAGUUAGAGACAGAUAUGAUACCUGCAGUGGUACUGAUGACCCUGUUGUGGAGCACAGAUCUCCAGGCUAAAAGUGUCAGUUCACCAGCUGAAGACUCAGUCAGACUGGUGGAUGGGACCACUUCCUGUUCUGGGAAAGUGGAAGUCUUCUACAGAGGAGAGUGGACAGGUGUAUGUUUUAGGUGGUGGGGAAUGAGGAGAGAUGUUAAGGUUGUGUGUAGAGAGAUGGACUGUGGGAAUCCUGUAUCUGUAUCUAGAGGACCUCUGAUUGAAGACGGAAGAAUAGGAGUCAGACUAUUUAGUAUUUGUAGUGGAGAUGAGUCUUCUAUUAGAUGGUGUAAAAUCAUAGGAGGACCUGGUGUCUGUGAUGGUGGAUAUUAUCAUCACGUGACCUGUUCAGAGUCUGUGCGGCUUGUGGAUGGAGCUGGUCUCUGCUCUGGGAGAGUGGAGGUGAAGUCCAAUCAGUCCUGGGCCUCAGUGUGUGAAGCUGACUUUGACCGGCAGGAUGCAGAGGUAGUCUGUAGGGAUGUUGGCUGUGGGGCUCCUGCAGCUCUACAGGGGGGACUCUAUGGAGAAGGUGAGGGUCAGACCUGGGAUAAAGAGUUCCAGUGUAAAGGCAAUGAGUCCCUUCUCCUGGACUGUGACACCUCAGACAGAAAAAACAACACCUGCCUACCUGGUAAUGCUGUUGGACUCACCUGCUCAGGUAAGAAACAGUUUGUCACUCAAUCAACAUUGUUUCUCACCUUGAGUGAAGA